GACCCCAUCGUCUAGGGGACUAGGACACAAGGUUUUCAUCCUUGCAACACGGGUUCGAAUCCCGUUGGGGUCG
rnacentral:tRNA from 1 species